GACGAACGCUGGCGGCGUGCCUAAUACAUGCAAGUCGAACGCACUCUCGUUUAGAUUGAAGGAGCUUGCUCCUGAUCGAUAAACAUUUGAGUGAGUGGCGGACGGGUGAGUAACACGUGGGUAACCUGCCCUAAAGUGGGGGAUAACAUUUGGAAACAGAUGCUAAUACCGCAUAAAACCUAACACCGCAUGGUGUAGGGUUGAAAGAUGGUUUCGGCUAUCACUUUAGGAUGGACCCGCGGUGCAUUAGUUAGUUGGUGAGGUAAAGGCUCACCAAGACCGUGAUGCAUAGCCGACCUGAGAGGGUAAUCGGCCACACUGGGACUGAGACACGGCCCAGACUCCUACGGGAGGCAGCAGUAGGGAAUCUUCCACAAUGGACGAAAGUACUGAUGGAGCAAACGCCGCGUGAGUGAAGAAGGUUUUCGGAUCGUAAAACUCUGUUGUUGGAGAAGAAUGUAUCUGAUAGUAACUGAUCAGGUAGUGACGGUAU
rnacentral:rRNA from 1 species